rnacentral:lncRNA from 1 species
GUAAUAUCACAAUUAGCAGAACAAUUAGGUGUUAGGUUGUGAGACUUUCCCUGGGUGCUGUAGGAUUUUCAUGUUCUGCAGAUAAACAACAAAGCAUCUCAGAAGGAUUUGUCUGGAUUCUGGAGGCUGGAAGUGUGAAAUCAAGAUGGCCGCAGGGUUGGUUCCUUCUAAGCCUGUAAGGGGACUCUGUUGUCCUCAUCUGUACCUCUCCUCUAGCUUCUGGUGGUGUGCCGCAAUCUAAUGCCUUGU